rfam:Aquimarina sp. RZW4-3-2 contig1, whole genome shotgun sequence.
AAAGCAGAUCACCUUAUCGCUUUAUGUAAAAUAUAAAGAGGAAAGUCCGGACACCAUAGCGUAGCAUAGCGGGUAACUCCCGUCAUCUUGAUUACUCGAGAUAGGACAAGUGCAGCAGAAAGUAUGUACAGGUAAUGCUGUAGUGAAACCAGGUAAACUCUAUGCGGUGCAACGUCAUGUAAACCAGCUUUAAGGGUUGCGCGCCCAACGUUGGAGGGUAGACGGUUUGAGCUAAUAAGUAAUUGUUAGUCUAGAUAAAUGAUAAGGAUAUUCGUUUCGACGAGGAAACAGAAUCCGGCUUAUGAUCUGCUUUUUUU